UCGAGGGCUCGAAUACAAGUGCUCGAUCAUAGACGAGUCAGCGGAAGCAACAAUAUCUGAGUACAGACAUAAGUUAACAAGUUGCCUUGAGAAGGCUAGCACAAACUUGGAUACAGAUCGAAAGAGGCGCAUGCCUCCUGCCUGGGAUCCUCCUAACUACUCCUGGUCGUCGUCAGCGGGCUGCACGUAGUAGAAGGCACCUCCGGUGUAGUAGUCGUCAUCGACGGUGGCGUCUGACUCCUAGGCUCCAUCGUCUGGUCACAGCAACCGGGUAAAGAAAGGGGGAAAAGGGGGAACAAGGCAACCGUGAGUACUCAUCCAAAGUACUCGCAAGCAAGGAGCUACACUACAUAUGCAUGGAUAUAUGUGUAAAGGGCCAUAUCGGUGGACUGAACUGCAGAAUGCCAGAAUAAGGGGGGGGAUAGCUAAUCCUGUCGAAGACUACGCUUCUGGCAGCCUCCGUCUUGCAGUAGGUAGAAGAGGGUAGAUUGAAGUCCUCCAAGUAGCAUCGCAUAGCAUAAUCCUACCCGGCGAUCCUCUCCUCGUAGCCCUGUUAGAGAGCGACCACCGGGUUGUAUCUGGCUAUUGGAAGGGUGUGUUUUAUUAAGUAUCCGGUUCUAGUUGCCAUAAGGUCAAGGUACAACUCCAAGUCAUCCUGUUACUGAAGAUCACGGCUAUUCGAAUAGAUUAACUUCCCUGCAGGGGUGCACCACAUAGCCCAACACGCUUGAUCCCAUUUGGCCGGACACACUUUUCUGGGUCAUGCCCGGCCGCGGAAGAUCAACACGUCGCAGCCCCACCUAGGCACAACAGAGAGGCUAGCACGCCGGUCUAAACCUAAGCGCACAGGGGUCUGGGCCCAUCGCCCAAUGCACACCUGCACAUUGCGAGGGCGGCCGGAAGCAGACCUAGCAACCUCCAGUACAACAGAAGUCACGUCACGCGGUCCAAUCUGGCGCGCGCCGCUCAGUCGCUGACGUCACGAAGGCUUCGGCUGAUACCACGACGUCGGAAUACCCAUAACUACUCCCGCGUAGAUGGUUAGUGCGUAUAGACCAAAUGGCCAGACUCAGAUCAAAUACCCAGAUCUCGUUAUGCGUGUUAAGUAUCCGCGAAUGCCGACAGGGCCAGGCCCACCUCUCACCCAGGUAGUCUAAACCUGCCCUGUCGCUCCGCCACAAAGAUCCAUCCAGAGGGCCGUCGGGACAAAGGUCCUUUCAGCCCCCAAUCCUUGAAUCACUCGCGGGUACUCCUCGAGCCGACCCGUCUUUAGUCACCACAUGUAUCAUGUAUAAGUAUAUAGGUAUAUACCCGUGAUCACCUCCCGAGUGAUCACGGCCCGAUAGUAUAGCACAACAGACGGACAAGAAUGUAGGGCCACAGAUGGAAAUACUAGCAUCCUAUACUAAGCAAGUAGGAUUGCAGGUAAAGGUAUCAACAGCACUAUCAAAGACAGCUAUGCAUCAGGAUAGGAAUAAUGAAAGCAGUAACAUGCUACACUACUCUAAUGCAAGCAGUAUAGAGGAGAGUAGGCGAUAUNNNNNNNNNNNNNNNNNNNNNNNNNNNAAGAGAGAGGGGUCGUCAACACCGUAGUCGAACUGGGGUGGUCGUCGGCAGCCUCGGGGUCUAUCGAAAAGAAGUAACGGAGGGGGAACACAAUAAAUAACAUAGCAAUCAAAGUAUCACAAAGCGUAGCAUGGCAAUACGUGGUGCUAGAGGUGACCUAACGCAGUAGGAGGUGAUACCGGGUGAAGGGGGAAACAUCCGGGAAAGUAUCCCCGGUGUUCUGUGUUUUCGGACAAAUGAACCGGAGGUGAAAUGUUGCAGGUUCACUAUGCUAGGGACGCGUGGCGGACGAACGGGCUGUGUAUCCGGAUUCGCUGGAUUUUUCUGACCAACUUUCAUGUAGAAAACAUUUUCAUCCGAGUUACCGAUCAUUUUAUAUUAAUUUUCAAAGUCUAAAUGAAUUUUAGGAAUUUUAAAAUAACUAAACCAAAUAAUUAGUAAAUGCUAUGGGUACAUAGAAGUGUACCCAACAUCUCUUACGGUGUGCAUUACACGUGGGUCCCCAGUGCUGAGUCAGCAGCUGACUCAGCCAACCUUAUCCACAUGAACAGUACAGGUGGGUCCCACAUGUAAGUGUCUCAUCCUUAUUAUUAUUUUUUUAUCCUAUUUCUUUUCUUUCUCUCUUUUUUUAUUUGACCCGGCCCCACUGGCCAGGGCACAGCCGGCCACAGGGGGAACUCUACGCACGCACGUAGCAGGAACGGCGCGGCCGGCGGCGAGCCACGGCGGGGCUCAGGCGGGGGAGGAUGGCGCUGCCCGGAGAGCCCAGGUAGGUUCGCGGGCGCGGCCAAGGGCGGUGGUAGGCGGUGACGGCCGCGCGGCCAGAGGGGAGCUGAGGGGCGCGCGCAACGGCAGCCACGGGGAGGCAGCGCGCGGUGUGGGGAUUGGUGCGGCCUUCGCGCCGGCGACUGCGAGCAGCUGGUGACGGCGGCCGGCGGGAGCUGGCGGCGCGUGGCCAGUGCGCGCCGGGCGAGAGAGGCGCGACCGACGAGCAGGGGGCAACACGCGACGGGCGCCGCGUCAACAGCAGAAGGAGCACGUACGCAGACGCUGUGCUGCGGCCAUGGCAGGCACCGGCUUGUACAGGCGACUACGGUGACGAAUCGAACGGGAGAUGAGGGGAAUCGGCAUGGGGCUCACAGCGGAGGUCGAUGGCGCGUUCGGGGAGGCACGAGAGCACAGAUCCACGAUGAGGCAGCGGUGAAGACCGACGGCCAAGACGAAGGCCACGGCGACGAGGGAGUGGCUCCCCUGCUCGAUCCAGCAGUGUAGUCAAAGGAGCAGAAGCCGACGGGGCCCGUGGACCUGCUGGCUUGACACGGGGAGGCUGUUGGCAACACGGGCGGCAAAGAAACGGCGACGGCAUGGGCGUCCAUGAGUGGAUCUGGAGGAGGGAAAAAACGAAAGGUAGAGGAAGGAGAAAGGAGUGGGUGAGUGCGGGGGUGGGAGAGGACCGAGGGGGGCAUGGGCGGCCCUUAUCCCCUCGCCCUCGACGCCGGUGAGGUGGUUGGGGCGGGACGAGCCCCUGUAGCGACUGGUCGGAGGAACAGGACGAAGAAACCGACCGAUCGGGGUUAGGUGGGCUAGCUGGGUCGGCUGGGGNNNNNNNNNNNNNNNNNNNNNNNNNNNCCCUUUUUAUUUUGCUAUUCCUUUUAUCAGGAAAAAUGAUAUGCAAUAUUUGAGGUGCCAAAAGGAGUUCUGAAAAAUGUGAGACUUGGCCAAAUAAAUACAUUACAAUAUUUGGCACCUACCACAAAAAGUUUGGGAGGAGUUUGAAUUGAUUUGGAUUUUUCACAAAUGGAAAAGCAUUUAAAAAAAUGCUGAUUUGGAACUACUUUAAUUCCCAAGGGAAAUUAGCUAUCUCAAAUGAUGUUGAAUCACUCAUGAAAUUUAGUUAGUGAAUAUUUGCAACCCAGCGAACAUUUUUGUUUUACUGUUUGGAGAAAUAAUUUAUUUGACUUUAUUUUAAAAUUGAAUUUGAAUUGGUUUUGAAUCAAAGUGAGAUUAGCAACAGUAACAUUGAUGACUUGGCAUCAUUAGUAGGGGAUUACUGUAGCUUGAUUAUCCGGGCGUUACAAAUCUCCUCCACUACAAGAAAUCUCGUCCCGAGAUUUAAGAGGUAGUGAAAGGGGGAAAGGUUUGGUAACGAAUCUAGCGGGUCUUCUUAUCCUGGCUUGCUCUUCUUGAAGAGGCCGGUCCAAUACAUUGAUGUAUUCAUUCCACUGCUUCAGGUCAUCAUGAUGGAGUAGGCAUCCUUUCUUCGGGAUCUUCAUCGUACUUACGAAUAGGUAACGGGGCAGAUCGGCAACGACAGAAUGCUAUAAGGGUAAUAAUCUGGGAUUAACCCACGAAUGAGCAUAUGAGUACCUCUCGAGUUGAACAAAUAAAACACAUCGAGAGUAAAGUUUGAAGGUACAAUAAGAAGUUUCAAGCAACCAGGCAAUCAUUCAAUGCCUAGUCAGAAGGUGAAAGGGGUUUCAAGCAACGGAAUAAUAAUUAUUUCCGAUGCCCGAAUUGAUGAUCUCAUCGGAAGGUGGCUCAUGAAUCACAUACGGGUCCACGCGGGAGGAAUAACUUUGGUAACAGGGGGUGUACAGGAGAGUCAGGUUUCGAUCCCGUGGAACUGUGGGUUAUGGGCCCACCAUGUGGUUGAAAGUAGGAAGGGGGCUGACAUCUUGCACGGUCAUGAUAGUAAGGCGUGUCAGAGGGUAUCCUGUCGGUUAUGUCGGCAACAACAUCAAUACGAAGGGCGAGGGACGAAGAGAACCAUCUUCCUGCUUGUUGAACGAGGCGGACUAAUAGGCAAAGUUCUCGUCCAUCGGUGGUUACCGGAAUGUCAUCAACAAUAGUAACAGGGUCUUGCUGACAGAAUUGUACAUCGAGGUGUUUACAUAAGCAUGAGAAUAUUACUGCUUAGAUCUUAUAGAUCACAAGAAUGGUUAAACCAAACAAUGAAAAGGAUAAUAUGAUUAUCAAAUUAAACAGAACAAUGGAAAGGAUAAUGUGUUUAAACACAUAUUUCAAGGGUAUAUCCUUCCCAAGGACAAGCAGAGCAUGAUAUCCGUAACAGGAUAGAAAGUAGAAAACUAUUUAGGUAAGGGGGUGGAAUCUCAUGAUAUUACUCAUACAACAGUGUUAGGAUAAAUGCUAAAGAAAAUUUAGCAUUGUGCUUCAAAUGUUCUUAUUGAAAUUCGGAGUACCAUAGACAAGCUUCGAGAUAGCAUUGACAUGGUCUUCAAGCAAAGGUCGGACUACGGAUAUACGAAGGAUCCAUCAAGAUCAACUUGUAAAAUAAGUCUUACAAUUUCCUCAUUGAAGAAUGGCUAACCUUGCUAAAAAGAAACUAUAACAAUAGGGCCUUUGGCUAGGGGUGCUAAGCAAAGACACCACCUUACCAGGUUAUGAAGAGACCAAUGUUAUAACUCUUGGGGAUAUGUCCCAACCAUCAUAUCUGAUCGAGAUUCAGAUCUGAUCGGUGUUGGGAUACCUCGGACUCAGGAUGCCUGAGAAGAAAAGGUGCAAAACAAAUUGACAAGACGGCAUUGUAAGAUUCUCGGGAAAUGUACUACGGAAGCGAGUUCUGAAACAAGAGCUCAUCAUUAAACUAAUGAAGGGAUAAUGAGGUACUCAGCGACAAUUCAUCGAGACCUCCAAAAGAUGGGUUUCCACAAUUUUGUGAACAAGGAGAUAACAUUAGUCAGAUCAAAUGAUAUAGUGAUGUAUGCUCGAGGAAAACAUACACAACUAAACAUUGGUUGAGAGGUGCACCCGAAAUAUGGGCUUAGGUAGCAUGAUCAAUGUUAGAAUGGUGAUUCAAUAAGCGAUAGACUUAGAAUGAAACUAUCGACCAUUAACUUCAAAGCAAUAGGGUUGCUAGAAGUUUUGAAGUCGCACUUCAUAGUUUAAUUGUCGGUUUUCCGGUUAGAAACAACACGAGGAUCAGAAAAUGAAUGAAGAUGGCGAGAAGUAUUACUAUAUCAAGAAUUCUCAAGAGGUGGAGAAAUUCUCACAAUAUCCUUGACAUAAUAGAUGGUAAUACUCCAAGGUAGAACAUAACAUAAGCUGGUUAGCAAGGAACUCCAUAACACGAUCAAGUUUGUGAUGGAGGGAAGGUAAGGAUGUUGUCGAUGGUAACUCAAAUUACCAAGGAACAAGGAUGGCACUUAUCAUCAAGAAUUCCAUUGAUAUCCUGGAAGGAGUUAAAAUGUUGAUGAUGAUCACGAUAGUUUGUUGUCGAGAGGAUCCACGAAGAAGCAAUUGAUCAGCGACCGCAUCAAGCAAAAGGACUGAUGCAGCAAAAGAUUAUUGGAGCCACAGAUACGACACAAACUCGGGGUCAAGUUUGUUGUUCGAGGCAAAACGAUAAGACGAGGAAAGUCAACGUAAGAUUAGCUCAUCAUCGAAAAUUGUGCUCUGAGAAGAUGGACCAGGUAGCACAGUUAAAAGUUUGCACGAUAAUGAUAUAGCCGAUAAGCCUGGGAAAUGACUUGAAUGAUUAUUAAACUCGCAAGCAAUGAAGGUUACCAAGAGUUGCUUAAUCGCAAUGCGGACUCGAGUCAGUUAUCGGUGUCUUCGAGUGUUUAAUAACUCAGAGCCCGUGAAAAAUUGGAAUCAAUGAGAAUGUAGCACUUGAUGAAGAACUCAUAAGAAGUUAUGCAGUUUCGUGAUAAUCUUGAGAUACCAGGGGGGUAAUACUCGACGACAGAUCAAUUAGAGGUUGGACUAGGUUAAUGCUCUGCAGAAGACAAGUACUCUAACUUGUCCAAGAAAUGGAAUCAAGAAGAAAAUAUGGUCGGAACCACGGUCGCAAAAGACCAAGCAUAGAUAAGAGAAGAAGUUAUAACAAGGGGAUUAUUACUACUACAAGAAGCCCCCAUGAUAAGUUCCACCUCGGGUCCAUGGGCAUGAACAAAAAGUUCAAGGUUGACUCCCACUUCUCCAAAGCAUAACCUUACAUUCACUUCUCGUUUCAAUAAUGGUAUUAGUGUUCAAAGUUUUACCUGGUAAAAUACCAGAUGAGUAUGACCUGUGAAAUCUUUCAGGCUCACAUAGAUUAGGAAAAGGCAUAGGUUCAACCCAUUAGGGUCUCUUAGGAACAUAUACCACAAACUUCAAUAGUAAAUACCACCAGCUCGAAAAAGAGCAUGGUUACGAAACAGAUGAUACAAUUUACUCAAGGCUUUAUAUAACCGUGGAAAGACUCACAAGGUUAUCUGAAUAUGAAGGACACUAUCAAAUAAUAAUCCAACAAAGGAUCUGACGGUCCAUAUCGGAGCUGAUGUGAGAAAUCGGCGCACAACCAGAGGAAGAAACGAUGCGAAGGCAUUGGAUUAUAGAAGCAAAUGACUAAUUCAAAGUUUAAUUGCAAAGGAAUUAUGAUUUCCAAAUCAAGGGAUCAGGAGCAACGCUCUGAUUUAGGAUGGAUAAGCUGAACCGUCUUAGGGUACAAUCGACGACAAUUUGAUUGGUCGAGAACCAGCUCCAGUUAAAAAUGACGGCUGAGCCGGAAAGAUAAUUUAUAAGGAUCAACUGAUGAUUACGGACAUUCGCAACAUAUUGAAUCAAGGAACUCGAAAUGAAGAUGACAAAGGAUGUCAAGUAGAUUACCAGACUUAGGAUAAAUCAUAAUGCAAGCAAGCAAGCAAGAAUUUCAAGAGCAAUAGGCUGCUUAGGGUUUUCGGAAGAUCGAAUAGCAUUCCAAGGGAGUUUGUGAAACACAUGAGCAACUUCGGACAAAUGGAUACUCGGCAAGCGCGAGUAAUUAACCGUGGGGGGUAUUCAUGCGAUAAGAAAAUGCAGGGCAGUAAGCAUAAAGAAUUCUCGGAAUAUCGGAGAGUAGACAUCUUGUAAUAACAAGAGCAACUGGGGGUGACAAUAUGAAUGGCAUGUGUAAGUAGUUAUCCCGAGGGAAUUAUCGAAGGAAGUGAAUUGCAAAAACGAUGGCACAUAGUCUCGGGAGCACAUCAUAGAGUAUCUUCGGAAUCUUCUAGCACAGCAGGCGAUCAUCUGAAGUGAGGGCUCUCCAGGAGAAAGUAUUUUCGAGAACCUAAAGUUAGUUUUGUUUUUAACAAAAUCAUUUAGCCUGAAUAGAAGAGAGCUCAGAUUCCCAGAGUAUAGACGAGGAAUAAAAGAUCCUAAUGCCACCCAAUGGCGACGUGGGCCCAUGGGCCGCACAGCCAUGUUAGUAAAAGUUUUUUUUGUCUAGACUCGACUUCGGCCAAGGAGUUGGAAGGGGGAUUCCUACAGGCAGUCGGCUCUGAUACCAACUUGUGACGCCCCCGAUUCAAUGGUACACUAAUCAUACACGCAAACGUGUACGAUCAAGAUCAGGGACUCACAUGAAGAUAUCACAACACAACUCUAAAACAUAAAUAAGUCAUACAAGCAUCAUAAUACAAGCCAGGGGCCUCGAGGGCUCGAAUACAAGUGCUUGAUCAUAGACGAGUCAGCGGAAGCAACAAUAUCUGAGUACAGACAUAAGUUAACAAGUUGCCUUGAGAAGGCUAGCACAAACUUGGAUAUAGAUCGAAAGAGGCGCAGGCCUCCUGCCUGGGAUCCUCCUAACUACUCCUGGUCGUCGUCAGCGGGCUGCACGUAGUAGAAGGCACCUCCGGUGUAGUAGUCGUCAUCGACGGUGGCGUCUUGCUCCUGGGCUCCAUCGUCUGGUCGCAGCAACCGGGUAAAGAAAGGGGGAAAAGGGGGAACAAGGCACCCGUGAGUACUCAUCCAAAGUACUCGCAAGCAAGGAGCUACACUACAUAUGCAUGGAUAUAUGUGUAAAGGGCCAUAUCGGUGGACUGAACUGCAGAAUGCCAGAAUAAGGGGGGGAUAGCUAAUCCUGUCGAAGACUACACUUCUGGCAGCCUCCGUCUUGCAGCAGGUAGAAGAGGGUAGAUUGAAGUCCUCCAAGUAGCAUCGCAUAGCAUAAUCCUACCCGGCGAUCCUCUCCUCGUAGCCCUGUUAGAGAGCGACCACCGGGUUUUAUCUGGCACUUGGAAGGGUGUGUUUUAUUAAGUAUCCGGUUCUAGUUGUCAUAAGGUCAAGGUACAACUCCGGGUUGUCCUUUUACCGAGGGACACGGCUAUUCGAAUAGAUUAAACUUCCCUGCAGGGGUGCACCACAUAACCCAACACGCUUGAUCCCAUUUGGCCGGACACACUUUUCUGGGUCAUGCCCGGCCGCGGAAGAUCAACACGUCGCAACCCCACCUAGGAACAACAGAGAGGCCAGCACGCCGGUCUAAACCUAAGCGCACAGGGGUCUGGGACCAUCGCCCAAUGCACACCUGCACGUUGCGAGGGCGGCCGGAAGCAGACCUAGCAACCUCCAGUACAACGGAAGUCACGUCACGCGGUCCAAUCUGGCGAGCGCCGCUCAGUCGCUGAUGUCACGAAGGCUUCGGCUGAUACCACGAGUCGGGAUACCCAUAACUACUCCCGCGUAGAUGGUUAGUGCGUAUAGACCAAAUGGCCAGACUCAGAUCAAAUACCCAGAUCUCGUUAUGCGUAUUAAGUAUCCGCGAAUGCCGACAGGGCCAGGCCCACCUCUCACCCAGGUAGUCUCAACCUGCCCUGUCGCUCCGCCAUAAAGAUCCAUCCAGAGGGCCGUCGGGACAAAGGUCCUUUCAGCCCCCAAUCCUUGAAUCACUCGCGGGUACUCCUCGAGCCGACCCGUCUUUAGUCACCACAUGUAUCAUGUAUAAGUAUAUAGGUAUAUACCCAUGAUCACCUCCCGAGUGAUCACGGCCCGAUAGUAUAGCACAGCAGACGGACAAGAAUGUAGGGCCACAGAUGGAAAUACUAGCAUCCUAUACUAAGCAAGUAGGAUUGCAGGUAAAGGUAUCAACAACACUAUCAAAGACAGCUAUGCAUCAGGAUAGGAAUAACGAAAGCAGUAACAUGCUACACUACUCUAAUGCAAGCAGUAUAGAGGAGAGUAGGCGAUAUCUGGUGAUCAAGGGGGGGGGGGGCUUGCCUGGUUGCUCUGGCAAGAGAGAGGGGUCAUCAACACCGUAGUCGAACUGGGGUGGUCGUCGGCAGCCUCGGGG
rnacentral:lncRNA from 1 species